rnacentral:lncRNA from 1 species
CACCAGAGAAGGCCCUCGCCAAGCACUGCUCCUCACCGGUGGGCAACAGGAGCUGCCGACGGACCCCUCCCCUCGGGUCAGGAGAGGCUCCCCCGGCAGCCCCGCACCGCCCGACACGGCUUUCCAGCAGCGCUGGGGGUUCCGCUCACCUCCCAGCGGUGCAGCCACAAAAAGGCACCGCACCCCGCGAGGCCGCAGGAACAGCCGCUCCCCGGCAGCCCAUUCCAAGGAGCGCUCCUGGCCGUUAAAGUCCCUUCCGCGCAGCUUCACACCACGCCAGCGGAGGGCGGUCACUCGGGUUCAUUUGCUCAUCCUACGACACCGCGCCAGAGGUGCGGGAUUUUUCAGGUGGCCGUCAGCCCCGACGGCCCGAGCGAGGGCAGCCAGCAGCGCCCGAGGGUCGCAGUCCCCGAUGCCGGGAAGGCGCUCAUCCGCACACCACGAGCCGCGCCGAGCAGCCGCUGCUCCGGCAGAGCCGUCCCGGGGCGCUCUCGGACAGAAGGGCACGAACCGCCCUCCCAGCCCGGCUUCCAGCCGCUACCAGCCCCACCGCUGCCGGACUGGCAGAGCCGCCCGGUGCCGCGGCACUCCGCGCACACGCUGCUUAAGCUCCUCGCUGAAGAGCAGCGCGGUAACAGAUGCUGGGUGAGUUCCAGAGCUUUUCACGGAACUAAGAAACAAAGGGGAGCGAAUCCACCGAUCAGCCGCAGGGAACGACUCCGGCAAGGAGCGCUGCCACUCGAGCGCCGAGACCCGACCUUGGCGGGACUCUGCCGGCUUUCAGAGCACUGCUGCAGCGCCUGCCCGCAGCGAUCCGCCGGCGCGGCGGCACCCGUCCCGCACCGCACCGCACCGCACCGCCAGCACAGCCCGAGCGCGGCCGGAACGGGACGCGGGGCCGGAACGGGACGCGGGGCCGGAACGGGACGCGGGGCCGGAACGACGCCCGCCCCCACACUCCGCACGCACCUUCUGCACGCCGGGACUCAGCUCCAUCCCGCACACAGCCCGCAGCCCUCCUGCCCCGCACCGUACCGCCCGCCGCCUUUCAUUGGCGGCCCCCGCGGCCCCGAACGGCCCUCGGCCAAUCCGCCGCCGGCAAGAAACUUU